UUUUAUGAGAGUUUGAUCCUGGCUCAGGACGAACGCUGGCGGCGUGCCUAAUACAUGCAAGUCGAACGCAUUUUCUUCCACCGUAGCUUGCUACACCGGAAGAAAAUGAGUGGCGAACGGGUGAGUAACACGUGGGUAACCUGCCCAUCAGCGGGGGAUAACACUUGGAAACAGGUGCUAAUACCGCAUAAUUCCAUUUACCGCAUGGUAGAUGGAUGAAAGGCGCUUUUGCGUCACUGAUGGAUGGACCCGCGGUGCAUUAGCUAGUUG
rnacentral:rRNA from 1 species